CUCAUGCUUCCAUAAUAGUUCUGGGAUAAUUCUAAACACAAGCCAUUUUUCUAAGGAGAGUCCACAUUAGAGAGGUCUUUGUUUUGUAUUCAAGAUGAUUAAAAUUAUGAACUGGGAAGUUAGUCCCUGGGGUGUCCUGGCUGGCCUUUGGAAAUCUUCACUACAUCUUUCUGGGUUGGAAUUCUCACCACAGCCUGAACGUGGGGCUGUAUCUGAGCUGUCUCUGAGUGCUGUCCAUUUGAUAUAUCGAGUACUGGGUGUUUACCAGGGCUCUUCAAGCCACUGGGAGAAACAGCUAAAGAGUAACCUACUGAUUUGAGAUGUGGAUUUGUGCCCCAUCCCUUUCUCCUUGUUUCCCACAGGAGUUUUAUCUCAAACUCCUAAGCCAUUUUUAAGGAGAUCACUGGAACAAACUCCAAACCUACCCUCUAAUAGUCAAGUUUACCUGAAUUUUCUCAGUUCUCUCGGGAGAAGACUAAUCACACAUUGUAGUACCAACUUGGACUCUUCAUGUGCUUUUCUUAACUGAUUAGAGUUAACACCUCAGCUAAAGUGUAUAGAACAUACAUGGGGCUUCAUCAGGCUUCAGAAUCAGUUUCACUAGAUGUGCUAUGUAGGAGGCCACGGAAAAAUUACUGUAGUAGUAAAAGUUAUCAGUUCUGAUGUAAACAAUCAUUUUGUCCCAUAUUAUAAAUAAAUUGGCCUGAAAAUAUCUUUUCAUAUGUGAGGAAUAAGUAUAUGAUGCCUUUCUCCUUUAAAGUAUGAACUGCUAAAAGACAGGGAUAACGUGUAUUCUGUAUUCCAGCAGCCACAGUGUGUUUCUGGUCUUUGUACCAGGUGCUCAGGAAGUGUUUUCACUGGCUUGGGUUGACUACUUGCCAUCUGCUCUCUGAGCAUUCAUUUCUGAAUGAAAGGGGAGAAAGUGAAAGGAGAGGUGGGAAGAAAGAGGAAGCUGCAGAAAUACGAGGAAACAGCUGGAGGAGGGAGGUGAAGUUGAGGAGGUAAGGUCAGUAAAACAAAAAGCUAGCAGAGGGCAGGGUCAGGCCCUUGGGGUAGAGGGCUAAUUAACUUCUGUCAGCUAGUUGAAUAGAGCCUUGUGUGCUUUGUUAGAGACCAAAGGUACUUCAAAGGAAAAAAAUCUAGAUUCUUCCCUGUGUACCUUAAUAAUUGUUCAUCAGGUCAAAAUCUAUCCUGUCCUCUAGGAAUUCUGGUCUUCCCUCAGGCCUAGCAGAGAGCUUUCUGCCACUACUCAGGCAACCAAGGGUGAAGUGCUUCAAGUAGUAUUUGUGGACAGCAGCAGGUAAGCUUGAUGUGUUAUUCACAGCUUAAAGAGUAGAUGCUGAGUACAGCUGUUGUCCAUGUGUAGAGCUUUUAAUAACCAGCGCAGCAGGCCCCUUCACCUGCUUUUAUGCCUGGACCAGAUGACUGAAUGUAGAACUUUAGGCACUUUUUUUUUUUUUUGAGACGGAGUCUCGGUUUGUUGCCCAGGCUGGAGUGCAGUGGCGCAAUCUCGGCUCACUGCAAGCUCUGCCCCCCGGGUUCACGCCAUUCUCUUGCCUCAGCCUCCCAAGUAGCUGGGACUACAGACUCCCACCACCAUGCCCGGCUAAUUUUUAUAUUUUUUAGUAGAGACAGGGUUUCACCGUGUUAGCCAGGAUGGUCUCAAUCUCCUGACCUGGUGAUCCACCUGCCUUGGCCUCCCAAAGUGCUGGGAUUACAGGUGUGAGCCACCAGAUCGGCCCUUUAGGCACUUUCUACUUCUCAAGGUCAAGAAACAUCCUUUAAAAAGUUAAUUCCCUUUUCUGGAGCCUAAGCCAGAUCUUAUCUAGGCCUUGUGUUGCCAUCUGUUAGCAUUGAUUUCUGGAAUGGAGCAGCUUUCUCAAAGUUUGGUCUUGCUAGUCAUGAGGUCAUGUCAGUGUCUUAGGUCACUGCUGCUCACCUUCCUUACCCAGGGAGUAUACUGCAUAGGUUUCUGAACACCUGUUUUCAUUAUUCACUGUUCCUCUCACUGCCAAGAAUGGAGGGACCCUCAGUUGAAGAUCAAAUUGACUCUGAAGAAAAACUGGAGAUGUUUCUCUUGGAGUUUGGAUAGAGUAUUCACUUGAUAACAUGUUUUUCCCCUGCCUUGCUCUUCACAAGAACAUCUGGCCAGGCAUUAACAAUUAGUAAAUUUUUUUGCAUAUGAACAGUAUUUUUCUGGUCAUGUAGAUGGGUGCACAUGACACUAAACAGCAUUGUUUAGUGUUAUCCCUCUUAACUGGUGGGUUGUAUUUGGGGUGGAGGCUGUAGCCGAGGAGAAGACAUUCACCUCUGUACUCGAGAAACUUUGUGUAGGAAUUUAGUUUAUUUUUUUAUUUUUUUUAAUUUUUUAUUUUUUACUACUUUUACUGUUAGCACAAUGCUAUAAUUGAGCUAAUCUUUGUAGUUUGGUGCAGGACCACCAAGUUUGUGUGACCCAUUACCUACUUUUUCCAUGCUCAGCCAUUACCCUGUCCUGGGGCAUCUGAGGGCAGUAAGGAACAGGUGUCCAAAGGAGGAAUGUUGGUGCCUAUGAGUAUGUUUUCCAGUUGUAUUGAAUUUCUUACUUGGUGUAUUUUUGACUUGUCUUAGUUUCUUUCCUUGUGGUCUAUGCUAUUUUACUUGCGAUUUGUUGGAUAUUCUCCCUGUCAUUAAAGAGUUGUAAAAUGGAAGUUAGUUUCUCUAUGCAAAUGCUUUAAUGGAUGAAGCUGAUAGGUUUAGCAUUGAUUUUUGCUGGUGUCCUUCAACAAGCAUGAAGGUGAUAAAUGUGUUUCCAUGGCUUUAGACUCAUUUUUGAAGUCUUGGAUUGUGUGAACAUUCUUAGAAACAAUAAAAUGUUUUAAUUAAAAGCCCUCGACUACCAGCUGAAUUCAGUGUCUACUAGGAAAAUGGGUAGAUUUGUUACAUUGUCCCUUUGCUCUCUAUGACUUUGUUCCAGUUGUCAAGGAACUUAAAUGGGUAUUCAGGAAAAAGAAUUCUUGUUUCCCUUUCCUCACCUUGCCAGUUAAAUAACUCCUGGUGACACUUCAGGUGGUAGAAUUGAAACACAAACCUGACUUCUGACCACAUGGGUCAAAGGCAAAAGGCAAAUGGCUUCAAAGCCCUUAGUGUGCUUAUCCAGUUCAGGCAGUGAGGAGAUAACCUCUGCUUUCCUCCCUGAGGAGUUUGGAGUAUUUAAGGGGGGAUGGGGGGGGUGUCACUUUGAAAAUAUGUUGCUUUUUCUCCUGAUUGUAUUGAGGCUGAUAUGGAAGGGUUAUUUCUUUCUGGCCAAUACUUUUUGGUAUUUCUAAAUAUUGCAAUCUUGAUUUUUACUAUUAAAUUUGUUAAUUGUCAGUUCUGGCUUUUUUGCAUAAAGAGUUGGUCCAUUAACUUGCCAAUUUGAAGCUUCUAACUAGAUAUUCCCUACUGAAAGUUUUGGAUUUGUUUUUAGUUUGUGGAGCAGUCUUAGCUGGGGACAGGUAAUUGACAACGGCAGAGAUACUUUCUUUUCCUAGGAUUCUAAGUCUGUAAUCCACAUCCUCAAUGUAUUCACAGGACUUUAAAAUUCUCUCCAAAUGAGGAAGGAAAUAUCCUGUUGCUUUCUAAUGUUUACUAAAAGUUGUGUUUAGAACAACAGAUUUUAAUAGGCAUCUUCCUUUGUUAUGUGUCAUUAGCCCUUUGCCCGUUUACCUUAGGGCUCUUUGAAGGAGAAAUGGAUGGGAGAAAACCUGUCACUUGGCGAAAGUAAAAGGGAUAAUUAACUGGCUCAGAGCUUAUGUGCAGAGUUCCAAGCCCCAAAGUUAAUCUAGAACCACUCGAUAACACCAAUAAAAAUAUUUAUUUCACAUCUGUUAUAUAUCUGGAAAAUGUUCUAAGCAUCUUACACAUAUUUCUCAUUAAAUCCACAGGUGACCAUUGUGAGGUAGAUAUUUUGUUCUAAUUUUCCAGAUGAGGAAGCUGAGACCCUAAAAGGCUGACCGGUUCCCUGAUGUGUUACCUGCUUCUGCUACUGAUCCAAACUGCAGAACUUCUCAUUCAUCCCCAAGGCCUCCAGGCAGUAUCCAAUGGGGAAUCAGCUCUAAAAGGAACCAGACCAACGUUUUCCAGCCCCUUCAUUCUGGUGACUGAGGGGAGGAAAGAAUGGGAGGGGGUAUUCUUGUCUAGUGGAUGGAAAGGAAACACACUGUCAAAUUACUAUAUCUCCUUGGUUUUCUAUUACAGUAGAAUUCUCCAGCCAUAUUUUUAUUGUCUAUGGGGGAAGUUGGAGAUGGUGACCUUGAUUAGAAGUGUCUGGAGGGGGAUAAAUGGAGGGGAUAAGAUUCAGUUGGUUUUGGAAAAUGUUAAAGUCUUAAAAUAAUGCGUCCAUCUGAAGAAUUUUUUCUAAAACCAGAGUUUAUAAAAAUAUCACUGAUACAGCCUGCCCCCUCAUUUCCCUGCCACAGGAGAUGUCUUGGACUAGAGACACUUGUUUAAUAAUAGCUUGUCUCUGAUAUUCCCAGUAGCUUCCCUCUGUGUGAGGAAAGGAUAGAAAUGUUCAGGACAUCAUCAUACAGGCUCCUCAUCUACAAAGUUCCAGUAGCAGUGACGCCUACACGGAAGACUUGGAACUGCAAACAGGCUGGGGUCACCUCAGUGACAUCUGACGCUGUCCAACCAGAAGUUCGAUUUUUGUUCUGGGGGUGAAGGAGGAAACAGACUGUACUAAAGGACUAAAAUAAUUUGUCU
rnacentral:lncRNA from 10 species